rnacentral:lncRNA from 1 species
UGCAUGUGCAUGUAUAUAGUAGAGAGAUUUCAUAUUUACUCUUAAUUCAUGUUGCUUUCUUUUUCUUUUACUGUCUAUCUAAUCAAUUGUAAUUAUUGAGCUCAUACUGUGUUCUACAUGUGAUCAACAUAGAAAAAGGCCCUUCUGUUUGGAGAUCACAGUGACAAAGCCAAAGAGUAGCAAUUAAAAGCAAGUAUAAGCAACAGCAUUCGUUCUAUUUUUUAUCACCGCUCUUGAAGACACCAAGGAAGAAGAACUUCCAGACCAGCUUCAGAAAGUGACAAAAAU